GGGGGUGAAAGGUUUCGACUUCGACUGAUGUUUCAGGGGAAGCGGGCCGAGGAUGCCAGGGAUGAGCUCGUAAACCAUGCCCUGGAAAAAAAAUAAGCGCCGAUACCAAUCGCGCCCAGUUCGCCCUCGCUGCCUAAGCGAGUACGCGGACUUGUCAGCCUGAGUGCGCCUCCGACUCAGUCACUGGCAUCAGCUAGGAGGCUUCAUCGCCGCCCUCGGUCACGGGGGGCAGCGAGACAUCAAACAGUGACUGAGCCCGUCGGCAGCUUGCUUGCGUGACUGCCGGGGCCGAGAAAAGCAGCUGCAAGCUCCGCCCGGAGAAGCCCUGACUCGACACCGAAGGACGCGGGUUCGAUUCCCGCCACCUCCACCC
rnacentral:tmRNA from 1 species